GAUGAACGCUAGCGGCAGGCUUAACACAUGCAAGUCGAGGGGUAUAGGUUUCGGACCUAGAGACCGGCGCACGGGUGCGUAACGCGUAUGCAAUCUACCUUUCACAGAGGGAUAGCCCAGAGAAAUUUGGAUUAAUACCUCAUAGUAUUAUAGAAUGGCAUCAUUUUAUAAUUAAAGUCACAACGGUGAAAGAUGAGCAUGCGUCCCAUUAGCUAGUUGGUAUGGUAACGGCAUACCAAGGCAACGAUGGGUAGGGGUCCUGAGAGGGAGAUCCCCCACACUGGUACUGAGACACGGACCAGACUCCUACGGGAGGCAGCAGUGAGGAAUAUUGGUCAAUGGGCGCAAGCCUGAACCAGCCAUGCCGCGUGCAGGAUGACGGUCCUAUGGAUUGUAAACUGCUUUUGCACAGGAAGAAACAACGCUACGUGUAGCGUCUUGACGGUACUGUGAGAAUAAGGAUCGGCUAACUCCGUG
rnacentral:rRNA from 1 species